rnacentral:lncRNA from 1 species
AGCAUUGCAGAUGAGAAAUCUUCACUAAUAUUCCUAUUGGUAGCUCCUUUAGAUGCCUUGACCUUAGACGAAAAUAUCUAAGGUUUUGUAACAUUUCUAUACCAUGAGGAAGCUCUUCAAUUCCUGUACCAUAAAGGUCCAACUUUCUCAGUGCUCUGAGCUCUGCUAAUGAAGGCACAUAUUUUAACCUGCCACAACUAGCAAGUAUCAAUGCAUCGAGGUUUUUCAAGUUAGAGAUGGAAUUGGGUAGAUCCUCCAAGUAAUAAUUACUAUAAAGAUUUAGAACUUUUAGUCUAGGCAUGUGCUUAAAGAAAGAUUCAGGAAUACUUUUUAAGCCACAUUGUUGCAAAAUCAAAGUUGACAAAUGAGGACACUCAGGUGAUAUGUGAGGAGGGAUUUCUAUUAAUUUUGAAUUUUGCAUCAAAGAAACCUUCUCAACACUCACUGUCCAUUCUUGCUCACUUGGGAAUUCUUUCAAUUGCAUACCUGCUUUUACCAUGAACUGAUGACCUUUAAUAUACAACGCCAUGUCCCUCAAAACAUCAUGCAUCUUAACUCCUUCUUUGCGACUCCUAGUUGUAGCCCUCUCUAGCAAGCAAUUAUUUUCAAGCUUAUUUAAAAUGCUAUGGCCUCUGUCAUGCAUUUCUUGUCUAGUCCUUAAGCCAUCAAGGAGUCCUUCAUCUAUCCAAUUUUCAAUUAAUUCAACUUCUCCAAUCACAAAAUCUUCAGAAUACAAGGAGCAAUAUAAGAAACAAUUUUGAAUUUUUGGAUCUUUCAAAUAGUCAUAACUGAACUUCAAACGCUCAAAUAUUUCAACAUCCGAUCCUUUCACACUUUUCACACGCUCUUUUAAUUCCAUUAAUGCAUUUCUCCACUCACAAAUAUCAUUUACCCCCUUCAUGCUUCCAGCUAUUGUGACAAUGCUAAGUGGUAAACCACCACAUUGCUCAACAAUUUUGUUGACAAUGUCUUUUAAAUUUUGAUCUUGUACAACACCAUGCCCCACACGAUCUAAGAAUAAGUUCAUGGACUCUGUCUUUGAAAGCGGUUGCACUUUGACCACCUUACAAUCCAUAGAUUGGCAGACCUCAAUCAAUCUACUAGUGAGUACAACUUUCCUCCCCAUACCUAUUGUUGGUUCAGGGAUACCCACAUCCAAUAGAGAAAACCGUUUCCAAACAUCGUCUAAGAUCAACACAUAUCUUUUUCCCUCCAAAAUAUCUUUUAAUGUUGAUGCUCUUUGCAGUUCAUCAUAUUUUGGAAGAGACUCUUUCAAAGAAUCUGCAAUAUCUUUUUGCAAUCUAAAAAUAUUCAAUUCUUUUGAUACAGUGAUCCAUAUCACUUGAUCAAACUUCUCACUUUCCUUUAACAAUCGAUUGUUGAUAUGCUUCAUGAUAGUAGUUUUCCCUAUACCACCCAUUCCACAUACUCCAAUCAUUCCAACCUUAUUACCCAUCAAAUACUCCCAAAUUUGUUCUUUUACAUCGAUUUCACCUUCUAGAUUUGGUGUUGGUAACAUCACCCCGGUGGUUGGAGGCCCAUCAACUGCCACAUUGUUAGGGAAACUACCGUUUUGGUGAAUUUCCUUUACCUCUUCAAUCAUUCGGCAAACAAAUUUUCCAAGACGACCACGUAAGAAGUAUGAAACAACAUGGAACUUGGUUUCAAUCUCUUCCAUUUCAGUGUUAACCUUUUCUACAGCUUUAAACCAGUACUCCACUUCUUCCCUCACCACUUUUCUGUGACGAAGCUCCUCUUCCUUUCUUGAUAUGAGGUCUCUCUUUCGGAUGUUUAAAACAUUCACUUUUUCUCGAAGAUCAUUCAUAUGUUCUUCAAGUUUUCGGUGAUGGUCAAUGUAUGUACAGGUUGGACCACCAAAGCACUUUAUCACUUCAAAAAUUUGCCCUAUAAGCUCCAUAUAAGCUAUUCCCUAGAGAUUAAACCAAGAUAUAUUAGAUCUCCAUAUGACAUAAGCUACUCCCUCCCUAAACUACAAUUCUAUAUUUUUCAUAUAAUACAGAAUAUGUUAGAAAAAAAUCUUACUAAUUAAAAUUUUUUUACCAAUUCUUCUUAAGAAAAAACAUAAUAUUUUUGAAAACAUUAUAAAAAACAAGAAGUUUUUGUUUCCGUCACUUAAUUACUAUAAUUAUUUUCCACCUAAUUAAGAGAAAAGAAGCAUGACAUAGACCAAUGAACAAAAAUAAUUAUGUGAAAGGAAAGAUGAUGAACCUAUGUUAUGAAUCUAAAACAUGAAUCCAAAUCAAUAUUAAACAAUUUAAUUUAUCUAGUCAAGUGAGGCAGAUGAGCUGGUACUUCUUCUAUUCUUAGAGUUUCUUGAUUAAGUUUGUAAAAGCAGAUCUCCUUGCAAAAAAUUGUCAAGAAAAUAGCAUCAAGCAGAUCUCCUUCCAAAAUAUCCUCUAUGAGAAGAAAAUGAGUAAUGAAGCACAUGAAUUAUUGAAAAGUGGGCAAGAUUAAUAUUUAUGUAAGAAACUAAAAUAAAUGCCCAAUUUGUGUCUUAAUAUUUAUAUAAAACUUAUGAUAAGAUGAAUUUGUGUUAUAAUUUAAGAUUUCGAUUAAUUAAUGUUAUCAAAGAUAAAACUAAAUCAUAAGUAUAGACAACCUACUUAAUUCCGUGAGGCAGGGAAGUGAUACUUCUAUCUUCAGAAGGCCCUUAAUAAAUUUGAGAAACAAGCCCAAUCAAGAAAAAUAGCAAUAACAAAUAGAUUAUCUCCUUGCGAAAAAGAAAAUCCUGAUCCUCCGAGAGAAGAGAAUUAUUGAAUUAUGAAGCAGAAAAGAAUUAAAGUCGGCAACUCAAUGCAAAGUUGAAUUAUUUUCAACCUAAUUAGGCAAAAAAGGAAAAAGAAUAGAAGCAUAAAAUAAAGAGAAAGACCCAAAAGAAAGUUUUAUGGAGUUUGUUGAAAGAUGAAUUUAUGGCAGAAGGUAAGAUUCAGAGAUGGUACCAAAGAUGAAAAAUAUAAGCGUAGAUACUUCAGCUUGUUGAUAUCACUAAGCAGAUCUCCUUGCAAAUUCCUGUGUAAUGAGAAGAGAAGGAAUUAUGAAGCAAAUAAGUCAAUGCAAGUCAUGACAUUGGUUUCGGGGUCACUUCCCUUAAAGCUGCUUUGAAAUAAAGAAAAUAUAAAUAAAAUAAAAGAUGAUGAAGUGAGCCUGAACACUCGUUCAUUUUUCUUAAAGAAACAAUAAUCUAAGUUAGGACAAAAAGGAAGCAUCCGAGAAGGAUCCUGCGUAAAUUUUUACCAUUAAAUUACUUUGUGAAAAGACAAAGUUAGGUGCGAAUUGAGCACAAGGAAAGAUGAAGCAAUUAAAAAUUCAUCCAUUGUGUUAGUGGCGAAAUAAAAUAAUGAAAAGUUAGAGAAAUAGGGAGUCAUGAUUAGUGACUUGUGGGGUAGUAAUUGGAUUCCCCUUCUAGGUGUUUUGUGUUAUGCCAUAAACUUAUUACAUUAAUCUGAAUUUAUAAUUUAUAAAGAGAAUUAUUUCAACCUGAAAACUGAAAAAUAAGUAUCCCAAUCUGCAAUAGAAUGAUUUGACUAUGCACAGAAUGUGCAUAAGCUAUGAUCUACUGAAUGUAGUCCAUUUUAUAAGGGGACAAGAAACGAAUUGCCCUGUUCUUUGAUGGAGCUUCAGCAUCAUGCUUCAACCAGAAGUUUUCUACUGAGUUAACCGGAUUGUUAGUUCCUUGAUUGAUUUUCUAGUUAAUGAGCCAUAUCAGAUUACUUAGACUUGAGAAAUAGAAUUUCAACUUCUAAGGUUCUAAAUGUGACUAGUUCACAAAAUAUAUAGAAAUAUAAGGUACAAGAAGAUGAUGAUGAAGAUCAUUAAGUAAAGAUAUUGAUGAAGUGUGACGGUCAUUUCAUUGUUGAAGAUGAUUCAUGGCCGCCCCGUGGAACUGCUUCAAAAUAGUUCUUUUCAGAUAGUCCUAAAUAAUUGCUGCUGCACACACAACAGACAAAUGUGGAUGCAGCUUAUCACUUCUGAUAGAGCAGAGGACUCCCCUAAGAAUAUGGAUCAUCUGCUAGUUCAAAUUGUCUUGACUCUUUCCACAAUCUCCAUUCCUGAUACAUAUCAAAACCAUUUUGUCAUUUAUUAGUUUGAAAACUUAAUUAGUUAAAUGAUAAUACAUUGCACAACACUUACAUGUCCAACAAGGCUCAACAUUGGUUGAUAAAACCUUCUAUUCUUCUCUCCACAUAUUAUCUCCAGCAAUAGCCAAAUAUAGUACCCAUCAACAAGUGGGUUAAUUUAUCCUUACCCCAUCAACCUUAAGUUAAGCUUUUGUUUUGGUCUGAUAGUUUAGGUGCACAAUCGAUCAAGAAGUGGAAUUUUUUCUGUCAAUAGCAAAAAUUAAAAUCAGAAACUGUUUUUUGACCAAGAAAAGAAGCAAAUAAUUGAAAUUUUGUAGUUUUAAGAAGGAAGCAAGACGAUUACCAGACGAGAAGCUGUGUUCAGCCAAAUGAAAAGGCAAUAGCAUUUCCUUAGCAUUAGGAUCAUCCCAUUCCAGUGAUUCCCACCAUUCUUCUGGAUAUAAAACGAUUUGCUCAACAGGAGGAGUGGGAGGAGAUGGUAGUCCAUUUUCAAGCAGGGGAAGAGAUAAGGGGAUCCUUUUUAACUUCGGACAUUCUAUUACCUCAAGAUAUUGACGAGAGUUUGUUGGAAUCAUAAGUCCAAAAACCACAAAUGCUUUUCUGCUCUGGUAAUUUCAACAAGGAAAGUUUCCUUAAUUUGGGAAGAAUAAAUGUUAUGUGGUAAUUGCCCUUCCUGCCUCAAUUUCCUCCAACUUUUGAAAACCCUACAGCAGCUUAAUUGAACACAACUUCUUCAUACUCGAACAGUUUCUCAAGCAAAACCUUUUGAGAGAAGAGAAAAUGGGAGGUGGUGUUGGGAUGUGAGAUGGAGAUACACAUAGAUUCAUGGUUUUCAUGAAUAAGAUAAAAAUGUUAUGAUCACCAUUUAAACAUAAUAUAUAUAUUAUAUAUAAUAUAUAUAUAUAUUAGAGUAAUCACACUAAUCAUAUCAAAUUAAACUUAUACUCAUAAUUUGCGUGCAACAUCAAAUCACCAAAUCUUAUACAGAUAAUUUAAACUAUUAAUCUUGUUUAAUUAUAUAUGUAUUCAUCAUUUGAAGGGCUUUGUAAAUUUAUAAAGUAAACAACAAUAAGCAAUAAUUAUGUUUAUUUUCAAUAUCUUGGUAUUGAUACAUCACUUCCCAAAUAUGCUUUCCUUUUCUUUUUCAUACAUAGACAUUGUCUUGUUUGGAGAUUGUAGCUAGCUAGAUACCAUUAUUGCCAGUCCAAGAGGUGACACUUUGGAGAUUGAAUAGAAUUUAAUUUUCAGGUGUUUUGGUCUUGAGAUGAGUGUCAACAUUAAUUCCUUUGGAUCUCUUGAAUUAGCUUUUGUAAAUAAAAGAAGGUAUCCCUCCUCAAACAUGGAAAAUCCCCUUUCAAACCUAUAAUUUUAAAGAAAGAAAAUCCUAAUUUAAUAGAUUAGUUGCCAACUAGGGACAAGCUCCGUUGAUGUGACAUUAAUUUUGGUAUAUUCUAACACUUGUUGACUAGAUUCAAUUGGAUAGGAUUUUUAAUUUGGGUGAAAUUUACGGGUACUGAUUAAACAAUGGAAGUGACAUUGGAGGUUCUAAGUCCCUUUCACCUAAGAGAGAAAUGAGUUUGUUCAAUUGACACAGCUUUGGUACAAACAGAAAGUAAGCUAAUACCAUAUCCAUAUUUCUCAUGUGACUUGCAACAAAUUUAAGACUGAAGUAUGGCAAAAUAUUGGGUAUUUGUAUAAAUUACAAUACAGAUAAAGAAAAAAAAAAAAGAAAGAGACUAAAUAGAAAGGGGAAGUGGAAAGAUCCCCAAAAUCAAUUAGUUGCAAGUGGAAGGAGCAAAGCCCAACUUUGUUGGCAACAAGGUCAUGUUCCCACAGAUGAUUUUGUUGCAGAGUGUUGUCAAUAAUAUUUACUUCCAAGCUGUCUUUUGGUAAAUAGAAGCUGAUAAUGGUUAUCUGGAUCAAGCUCAAAUAUAGCUCCAUCUUCAAAAAUGAAUUGCAAAUCUUGACACUGAUGAGAAAAUCAAGCCUUUUUAUUGCUUUUAAUAAAAGCGUAUAAAAUUUGAAGGGUGCUCAGUUGGGGAAUUACUAGUUCCCAAGUAAUAGUUUUAACUGCUACUUUCUUGUACCAAAUUCCCAAGAAACGAUUCUUAGAGCUUCCAGGACAAAGAAACCAAGCUUAAGGAUUCCAUCCAUCACUAACAGACUGGGAGGAGGUGGAGAUAUCGAUUCCAUCAGCAAUACUUAAAAACAAUAUUAGCAAAAUGGUGUUGGUGAACAUGAAAGACAGAAUGUCUAUUUGUCUCAACUUUCAGAGCUUGUAAAACUUAUAGAAAAACUUUUCAGUUUGGCAGAUUUUAGAGAGCAAACAUAUUUAAACUGAUGGUCGUUGACUAGUAUGCAAGUCUUCCUUGAAAAGACCAAACUUUUCAGGUUGCACAGAAUUCUUAUUUCUGAUUUUUAUGAGGCUUCAGUGUAGUCAUCUUGUAUUGUCUCUGUGAAUUGUAUAUACAUAUUAUACCCCCAAGUGGGCACUUGCAGGGUGCUAAGCUCAAACUGGGACUAAACCACUGGUAUCAAAGCAUAAGGGACAUAAACAUACGGAUCGAUAGCCUAUAAUAAUGGCUUGGAGAUGAAAGAGCUUAAGUAUACAGUUUAUCAAUUAUCGAGCAUCUAGUACUGACAGAGUUAUUUCAUUUGUGGAAGAAGAUACAUGCUUGUCUGAUGAAGAAUCUUCUUCAAGUGGACUUUUCUUAGACAAAAUACCAGGUUGUUUGGGGUGUGGCAAUUCAGUUUCACUUCCCAACAUCAGAAUCACAAAUGACAUACGUGGCCUCUCCUCAGGGAUUUUGUCAUUUAUCAGUUAGAAAUGUUGAAAAUCUCAAGGAUUUUGUUAUAUUUGCAGACCAUUAUCUGUUAAAAUGAUAAAGAUAAAACGAGAGAGAAAAUAUAAUUGAACACAAAGUCUCCCUACAGUCUUUUCAUUCAACAAUAACACUUAUAAAUACAUUUACAGGAGAGAGAAGACAACAAUAAAAUAAAACAACACGUAAAGUAAAAUAACUGCACAAUAUCCAUAUCUUACAUAAUCACCUACUUUACAAUACAAACCCACUACCUAACAUAACAAUAACUGACUCAACAUGACAAUAAUUGUAAAAGAGAAAAUAAACUGAUAUUAACUAAUAAAUUAAAAAAUUGUUGAGAAUAACUGAAUCUGAUUCUUCAAGUCAAAUCUCAUUCUUCAACAAAACUUGAUUAGUUAAAUGAUAAUACAUUUCACAACACUUUUAUGUCCAACGAGGCUCAACACUUUUGUCUGGUUGAUAAAAGCUUCUAUUUUACCUUCCACAAAUUAUCUCCAGCAAUAAUAUACCAAAGCUAAAUACACUACCCAUCAAGAAGUGGGUUAAAUUAUCCUUAACCCAUCAACAUUAAGUUAAGCCUUUGUUUUGGUCUGAUAGUUUAGGUGCGCAAUCGAUCAAGAGGUAGAAUUUUUUCUGUCAAUAAUAAAAAUUAAAAUCAGAAACUAUUUUUUGACAAAAAACAGAAGCUAAUAAUUGAAAUUUUGUAGUUUUAAGAAGGAAGCAAGACGAUUACUAGACGAGAAGCUGUGUACAGCCAAAUGAAAAGGCAAAAGCAUUUCCCUAACAUUAGGAUCAUCCCAUUCCACUGAUUCCCACCAAGUAAUUGUUUGGCCCUUGAUCCAAUAUAGACUUGGUGUAUUCUACUGAGAUUUGUAAAUUUAUUUUCUUAAAUUGAAAGCACUGUUGUGAAGAUUUUUCCCUUUCGAAAUGAUUGGUUUUUCAAUGUCAGACAAAUUAAGAAUACACCAUACUUUAGAAAUGGAAACAUAUAUAAACUACUUAUUAAAUUACUACAACAUCAAGCAAAUUACUGUAAUGAACAAGUGAUAAUGAAGUCAAUAUAAUCCAAGAAGAUAGAUUGAAGGGAGUUCAGUUGGCUAAUUGAUGCAGAGAAUAUUUGGAGCAGACUGGGUUAAUCCUUGUCCAAAACUCCUUGAAAGCCUCUUCAUAGCAAUUUCCUGUGACCAUUUACUAAGAUAGAUUGAAAGACCGCCUGCAAAUAGGAGAGAAGAAAAUGUUGAUGUAACGACCCAAGUCCAAUCACCGGCCCAGCAACUUUUCGAACCUAAACCAAUCACUGGCCUAGCAACUUUUCGAACCUAAACCACAUGGCCCUUAAAAGCUUAAGCUUAAGUUACUAGUAGUGAUGGACUUGGAUUGUUAUAUAGGUAUUAACAAUCAUAUUCAUAUUAGACGUGAGAUUUGAGGUAUCACAAUCCGACCCAUUCAGAUCCUUGAUGUCAUCAUCAAGACCACACAUCACAUUCACGAGACCAAGAUCUCAUUAGAGCAAUGUGAAAGCUCACAUCGGACUAGCGCAAGCUCUUAUACCAUUUGUAAUGACCCAAGUCCAAUCAUUGGCCCAGCAGCUUUUCGGACCUAAACCACAUGUACCUCAAAAGUUGAAACUCAAGUUACUAGUAAUGAUGGACUUAGAUUGUUAUAUAAGUUUUAACAAUCAUAUUUAUAUCAGAUGUGGGAUGUGAGGUAUCACAAUGAACUUGAGUUUAAGUUUUUGAUGACCAUGUGGUUUAAGUCUAAAAAGCUGUUGGGCCAGUGAUUGGAUUUGAGUCAUUACAAAUGGUAUCAGAGCCUACGCCAGUCCGAUGUGAGUUUUCACAUUGCUCUUAUGAGAUCUUAUUCUCGUGGAUGUGAUGUAUGGCCUUGAUGAGAACAUCAAAGAUUUGAGUUGGUGGGAUUGUGAUAUCUCACAUCCCACAUCUGAUAUGAAUGUGAUUGUUAAAACCUAUAUAACAAUUCGAGUCUAUCACUACUAGUAACUUGAGCUUAACUUUUUAAGGACCAUGUGGUUUAGGUCCUAAAAGCUAUUGGGCCAAUGAUUGGACUUGGGUUGUUACAGUUGAUUAACAUCAACAAGUACAUCCCCUAGAUAAAUGAAUAAAAAUAAACACAGAAUGUGGAUAAAAAUAAACUGAGACUAUUUGCAGUUUUAAGAAAAAACGUUGAGGACUUUACCGAUGUGAACCGUCGAGCCACAUUUAAUGGAGUAGAUUUUCUCCAUCUCAUUCUACCAAAUAAAAACAAAGGGAGAAAAGACAUGCUUAGCAUCAAGGUGAUCCCAUUGCACUGAUUCCCACCAUUCACUCUGGCUUACAUUGAUUUCUUCUAGAAAAGGAAGAGGACAUGGUUGCCCAUUUUCAAAAAGGGCAAGACACAAAGGGAUCCUCUUUAGAUUUGGACAUUUCCAUAUUCGAAGAUUUCGGAGAGAAUCUGUAGGAAUCACAACUCCACCACUGUAAAUGCUUUUCAAUUUUGGUAAGUAGAUCAUCCAUAAUGAUUUUAAUUUAAGCAGAAUGAAUGUUGUUCUUUCUCCUUUACGAUUUUCUUCUUAUUCUGAUGCUAUUAUUUCCUCUAUUUCUUUAUAGUCUUCAACUUUAAUUUCCUGUAAGUUUUAGAGACCUUGCAACAACUCAAUUGGGAACAACUUCUUCAUCUUCCAACACAAAUCUAGAUGCAAUAAUUUAAGAGAAAAGAAGAUGGUAGGUGGGGUUAGAGGAGGAGAGGUAGAACCAAAUUCAAGCGCUACUCUUACUCUCACAUGUUCAUGCAAGUUCCACAAUGACUUAAGGAAUAUCUUCUUAAUGUCAUCAAGUGUGUUGCAAGGCGACAAUGACAAGUCAACCACACACGCCGUCCCUUUACACUCCUCAAUUUAACAUAUCUUCAAGUUAGUUGCCUUACGAAACAAAGGAAUAUUGCUUAAACAUUUGAAAUCAUUACACUUCCCAAUACGUAAAGUAUGAAGGCCAUUUGGGACUAGUGUAUCUUCUAUUUUCUCCAUCUCACAAUGCAUGAAUGUUAUCUGCUUUUCAAGUUUCUCUAAAUUUUGGACAGGUAGACUAUGUAAAACCUCAGAUGAUCCUACUUCAGGAUAAAGAUUUUUAGGCCAUUUACCUUGUAUAGACUUUGCAUAUCUUGAACUCUUACAAGUCACAAAAUGAACAUGAAAGAAUCUCAAGCUUCAUCAAUUUGCCUUCUUCUUCUCCCAUUAAAUGCGGCCCUACUAUUAAGCAUUGGAGAUGAGACAUCAUCAGCAAUAUUCCUACAGGCAGCUCUUUUAUAUUAGAUGACCAUAGACGGAGAUAUCUAAGGAUUUCUAACUUUUUUAUUCCAUGAGGAGCCUCUUCAAUUCCCAUAUACAAAAGGUCCAACUUUUUAAUGCUCUAAGCUUUGCCGAGGAAGGCACACAUUUUAAUAUGUAACAACAAAAAAGUAUCAAUGCAUUAAGAUUUUUCAAGUUACAGAUGGAAUUGGGUAGAUCUACAAUCUGAGUACGAGAAAGAUCUAAAACUUUUAGGUCAGACAUGUACUUAAAUAAAGAUUCUGGAAUCCUUCUUAAGCCACAGUUUUGCAAUAUCAAAGUUGACAAACGAGGACAUUCAGGUGAUAUGUGAGGAGGGAUUUCUAUUAAUUUUGAAUUGUCUAAUAUCAAGGAAACCUUCUCAACACUCAUUGUCCAUUCCUGCUUAAUUGGUAGUUCCUUUAAUUGCAUGUAUUGAUGACCACUACUUUUAACAUACAAUGCCACGUCUCUCAAAACAUCAUGCAUCUUAACUUCUUCCGUAUAAUCAGUUGUAGUCCUUUUUAACAAGCAAUUAUUUUCAAGCUUAUUUAAAAUGCUAUGGCCUUUGUCAUACAUUGCUUGUCUAGUCCCUAAGCUAUCAAGGAGUCCCUCAUCUAUCCAUUUUUCAAUUAAGUCUGUUUUUCUAAUUCUAAAAUCCUCAAGAUACAAGGAGCAAUAUAAGAAAUGAUUUUGGAUUUCUAGAUCUCCCAAAUGGUCAUAAUUGAACUUUAAACACUCAAAUUUUUCAAUGUUCGACCCUUUCACAAUUUUCACUUGCUCCUCUAAUUCAUUUAGUGCAUUCCUUCACUCACAAAUAUCAUCUACUUCUACCCCUUUUAGGCUACUAGCCAUUGUCACAAUGAAAAGUGGUAAACCGCCACAUUGCUCAACAAUUUUGUUGACAAUAUCUUUUAAAUUUUGAUCUUGUAUAACACUAUACCCCACACAAUCUAAGAAUAUAUUCAUGGACUCUUUUUUUGAAAGCGGUUGCACUUUGACCACCUCACAACCCAUAGAUUUAUAGACCUCAAUUGAUGUACUAGUGAAAACUACUUUCCUCCCCAUACUUAAUGUUGGUUUUGGGAUUUCCUCAUUUAGUAGAGAAAGUCAUUUCCAAACAUCGUCUAAGAUCAACACAUAUCUCUUUUUCUCUAAAAUAUCUUUUAAUGUUGCUACUCGUUGCAAGUCAUCUACUGGAAGAGAUUAUUUCAAAAAAUUUGUAAUAUCUUGUUGCAAUUUGAAAAUAUUCAAUUCUUUUCAUAUAGUGACCCAUAUCACUUGAUCAAAUCAAUUAUCCUUCAACAAUUGAUUAUUGAUAUGCUUCAUGAUUGUAGUUUUCCCUAUACCACCCAUUCCACAUACUCCAAUCAUUCCAACCUCUUCACCCAUCAGAUACUCUGAAAUUUGCUCUUUCAUAUUGAUUUCACCCUCUAGAUUUGGUGUUGCUAAUGUCAUCCCAGCAAUUGAAGGCCCAUCAACCGCCACACCAUCAGGGAAACAACCUUGUUGGUAAAUUUCCAUUACUCCUUCAAUCUUUCCGCAAAGAAAUUUUCCUAGAUGGCCGCAUAAUAAGUAUGAAACAGCACAGAACUUCUUUUCAAUCUCUUUCAUUUCAGUCUUUACCCUUUGUACCUCUUUAAACCAGUUCUCCACUUCUUUCUUCACCUCUUUUCUGUGACGAAGCUCCGCAUCCUUAAUGGAUUCAACAUCUUUCUUUCGAGAUUUCAAAGCAUCCACUUUCCUUCGAAGCUCAUUCAUAUGUUCUGCAGGUUUUCGAUGAUGAUCUAUGUAUCUAUAGGUUGGAUCCCAAAAAUACUUUAUCACUUCAUAAAUUAGCCCUAAAAAGUCCAUAUAAGCUACACCCUAUAAUUUAAUAAACCAACUUAUAUUACAUCUCUACAUGAUAUAAGCUACUCCCUGUACUAAAAUUCAAUAAAAUAAUAUGUAGCCUAUACGUUACAAAAAAAAUGUUACAAAAUAAUAAAUUUUUAAUUUCAAAAUUGGAAGACUAAAUUUACUAUAUGUGAUUUUUUUAUAUAUUUUACACAUUUAAUACGAAUUCAAAUGAGAUUAGGCAAGAAUUUGUAAUUGUUAGCCUAAGUGAACAUAGAAUGACCAUUUAAUGUUAAAUAUUCAAAUUCAAAAAUGGAUAUUGUCACCCAAAAAUGUAUUUGCUAGCAUAACUCAAAUAAAAGGAAAACUUUAUAAUAUUAAAAUUUGCAUUGAUUUCACUGUUUUCUCUACCAAUUGUUUCAAAUAGCGUUUAUUGCUAUUAAUUUUUUUGACCAUGACUCCUAAUUUGAUUUUUGUUUCAUACUUAUUACUUAUUUAAUUGUUCACAUUCAUAAUUCAGAGUUUACCUUAUAUGGUUACUUCAACUUUACCUCUUAAAAUAUGAGAUAUCUUGAAAUUAAUGCUAUAAAUUGCAAAUUUUUUCUACUUACUUGGUAUGUUUUUGUUAAAGAUUAUAUAUAGUUUCUUAGGCUAUUCUCCACUCAUAUUUAGUUUCUAUGUUUCCCUAAUCCAAAUUUCCAUCAUCAAAAGUUUGAUUUCUUCUUUUUGCAGACCUCUUUGAAUUAUUCAAUUUUGUCUAUAUAUGUAUUUUGACCUCAUUGAUUUAUAAUUAUUUAGUAGUUAUGUAUUUCAACCUCUUUAAUGAACUAUUCAAUUUCUUAAUUUAUUUUCUUUAGUCAAUUGUUUUACUGUAUUCAUAUGAGUAGAUUUUCAUCAGAAUCAUUUAAUCUUCUAAGACGUUAUUCAUUAACAUGGAUACUUCCAACUUAAUUUUUUUUUACAUUCUACUUUAUAUUUUAAAUUCUUAAAAAUUAUUAUAAAAUAAAAUUAUCACCUGUGCAUUGCAUGGGGAUAAAUCUAGUUUUUGAUAAUAAUAAACAUCAUCUUAACCAAUAAUAAUGAUAAUAAUAAAUAUCAAAGACCCAAGCAAAUAUUAAUCAUUUUGAAUUGAUAGUCCUAAAUAUUUUCAAUUGUGGAUUAAUAAAAUCUAAACAUGAGUAAGGAAUAUAUAUAUUACAUCUUUUUGAUAAUUAAAACAACAAAGCUUGUGACAACAACAAUAUAUCAUAAAAAGAUAUUUAAGAAAUGAUAGAAAGAAUAAAUUGAGAGAAUAGAAUGAUAUUUAGGGUCCGUUCGUUUUGCAGUAAAAUAUUUUCCGGAAAAUAUUUUCAGGACUUAUGCUUGUUUGGUAGAUGGAAAAUUAAUUUCAGAUGUAAAACAUUUUACGAGUUAAUAGGGUUAACCAUGGAAAAUGUCUUAUACGCUUGAAUGGCGUAAGACAUUUUUCAAAGAACAACAAAAACACUUUUAUGCUAAGUUUAUGAUUAUAAGUUUGAUGAAUAUUAAUAUUUAACUUAAAAUAUUAAAAAAAUAAAAAUAUUAAUAUUUAACUUUAAAAUAAUUACUUUAAAAUAUUAAUAUUUAAAUUAUACAAUACUAUUAAAAUUAAAAAAAAUAUUAUUGUAAUGAAACCAUUCAAUACAAUUAAAUUUUUUAUUUAUAAAUGGAAUAAAUCUUAUUAAUAAUUAUAAUAAAAAAUAUUUCAAUGAUCAUUAUUUGAUUAAUACACAUUUAUAAUAGUUUUAAAUCUUACUAAUAAUUAUAAUUAAAAAUAUUUCAAUGAUCGUCAUUUAAUGAAUACACAUUUAUAAGCAUAGAUUUAGGAUAUCUUACACAAUUGAUAAAUAUUUACAUUUUAUAGUUAUGAUAAAAAAGUGAUAAAAUGGAAAUUUUUUUGAAAAUUAGAGUUUAUUUUCAUCACAGAUAUGUGGUUAAAUGNGAAAUUUUUUUUUAAAUUAGAGUUUAUUUUCAUUACAGAUAUGUGGUUAAAUGCUUUGAGAAAUAUCAUUAUUGAUUUUGUCCAUUUUCAUCUUCAUUCUUAAUUUUGAUCCCAAAUUAGUGAAAAUCAAAUAUCAAUAUUGUUUUGUAAUCAACUCCUAUUUAUUAUUUUAACGCCUAAAUAAGUCCACCAUAAUGAAAAAUAUUUUUCAUAAAAUGAUCCAAACAACUGAAAAUGUUUUCGAUAGUUUAUCCAAAUAAUAAAAUAUAUUAAAUUUUCCUAUAAAAUAUUUUACAUAGGAAAAAUUUUCCUUCAGUAAGUCAAUUUACGAUUACCAAACGGACCUUAAAGUACCUGGUUUCCUUUUCAAAUUAUUUGGAAAGACCAAGAAUAGAGGUUAAGUAGAUGAACUGCAAAUUAAUCCCCUUGGCUCCUUGCGUUAAGUAGAAAUUUUUGUGGAAAAUUAAAAAUCUUAUUUUUAACACCAGUAGUGUUAAUUCAAAUUUAUACUUGUACCAAUUCAAAUUUAUAUUUAAGAGGAGAAUCAAUCCAAUCUGAAGAGUGAAAAAGUCUUGAAUUAAUUCCUUGUUGCUGAUGUAGAGAGAUGUAGUUGUAGAAGAAACUAUGCAUAGAAGGAACAAGUUUAGCCCUUGAAAAGAGCCUUGUGGAUGGCUCUUGAUCUUUACACAAAUGCUGCAGAGAACUUGUAAAUGAUGAGCUUGCAUGGAAUUUGUAUAUCUUAAUCAUAUGAAGCUUCAGUUUGGUCCUUCAAUUUCUCUAUCUAUGAAAUAAACACAAGGCAUUGUAUAUGAACUAUUCUAUACAUCUCAACUCUUCUUGGACAUAGAGAAAACCACCUUCAACUUGCUUUGAAAUUUCCUUCCUUGGUACAUGAUGCUGUCAAGUUAAGAACAUUGAAAAAUAGGAUUCAACCUUGCAAUCUAUAUUGACAUGAGGUUAACAUAAUUCUAAUCCAGUAUUGCAACUCCAUUACUGUCGACUCAAUCUGUAAUUAAUUUAAACAUAAGGGAAAGUAAGGUUAGAUUCAUUCGCAUUGGCUUUCUCUGCCCUGCUUUUAGAAAUUUCGUUGGUGAAAUUGGAUAAUGCUUCUUUCAGAUAAAAGACUUGAAGAUACCCCUUAAUAAAAGGAUUUGACAAAUUCUAAAUAUAAUUAGUUGAAUCAUAUGCAGAAACUGAAUUUGAAUCUCAAAAAGAAGAUUUUCUUCUCAUGAAAGCCUCUGUCAAGAACAUAUCCAGAUGACUUACAAUUCAAGUGAAUUUGGAUAGUGCUUCUGAUGAAAGCCUUCGAACAUUAGAACUACAGAAGACAUACAAUUCAAGUGACCAGAUUCCAGAUCAAAUAUGAACAAAUCUUGUAAAUUAGCAUUUUCUCCGCUCCUUGUUAUGCAACGACCAAGAGGCUUUACAGGAUUACGCUGCUGAAGCUUGGCAAUCAAUUUCACAUCAUUUCAUAGCACAUACAAUCCUUGUCAAGAACUCCUUCAAAGCCUAUACACAGCAAUUUGUCAUCCAUCUGAUAAUGUACCUUGAAAGGUUAAAAGUAAAGAUUGCAAAAGGGUUUUCCUUGUACAUACGUCCGAAUCCACCUUAUCCAAGCUUCUUGUAUAUUGGUGACUUUAGCUAUAGAGGAUAGGUCAAACAAGUCGAACCUCUGUGUUUUCCUUAUUGCCUACAACGUUCUGCUCAGCUUCUCCCAUGGUUUCUUUCUCUGAAAUAGAGGGAAAUGUGCCUCCUUAAGUGUACAGUUUUAAUGAUUUUUUUUUUGGAAGAUAUAGUGAUUUUUCAAUGCUGUUUUUUCCUCUGUUUUUUCUCCACUGACAAAUGAUUGAUACGCAAUUUCUAGCAAACUAUACCUUUCGAAAAAUUUCAAGAAACAGAAGAGCUAAAUGUUAUGGUUGACAAGACAAAUGAGCUUUACCUUGUAGGUUUCUCCAGAGUUUGUAAAGGUAACAGUCAAUUAUCACCAUCCCAGCAACAAUGGCAAGGUCAAUUCUGCUUUGAGAUAACAGCCAUCCUCUUCUUAGGCUCAUCUUUAGCCUUUUCAGGUUCAGAUUUGACACAGGAAAGUCAGUUAAACUUAUUUUCAGAAAGUAAGACACAGAGUUAAAAAAUGCUAAUGACACAUGAAAAAGCAAAUGAAUUAAUGAGUUAAAAUUAGGUGCAAAUUUAAUUUUGAAGCAGAAAUUUGAAUAUAAUGUACUCGCCCACCAGAAGGUUUCUGUCUGAUAUCAAAUAAUCAAAUCACAUGACUGAAAAGUUAGUGGUAGGGCCAAGAACUGAAGGUCCAUGUUUUCCUUGAAGCUUUCAGCAUGCCCUGAUCAGUUUCUUCAAUGUUUUUCUCUUAUCUAAUGUUCUGCUCAACAAAAGAAUAAAAAAUAAAAAAAUUUAAGACUAAAUGUAAAUGCAUGGUAAACUUGCUGUCUAGCUGAGAUGGUUUUAGAAAUUACUGAAGGCAUAGUGAAUGCUAAAUUUUUAAUGAAAAUCUGAUAGCCCAAUAACCAUAGGCAAAAAACAACUUGUGAAAGGACCAACCUAUCAUUGCCAUCAUCAGCCUCUUACUCUUCAUCCUCUUCUGAAGAAAAUUCUAAAACAACUUGUGAAAGGACAUCCUUAGCAUCAGGAUCAUCAAAUUCCACUAAUUCCCACCAUUUUCUUGGAUGAACAUAGCCAUGCUCGAGAGGAGGAGGAGUUGGUUGCCCAGUUUCAAGCCGGGGUAUGGAGAAAGGGAUCUUCUUGAGCUUUAGACAAUUUAUUAUUGAAAGAAAUUGGAGAGAGUUUGCAGGAACCAUAACUCCACUAGUACAAAUGCUUUUCAGUUCCGGUAAUUUGAUCAGGUGCAAGGUCUGUAAUUUGGGAAAAACAUAUGUUGUUACUUUAGGACCCCUUUCUUCUUCUUUGUGAUUUUCUUCCUCUGCUUCUGAUGCGAUUAUUUUCUCCAUCUUCUCACAGCGAUUAACUUCAAUGUACUCUAAGUUUUGCAAGCCCCGCGACAGCUGAACUGAAAACAAAUUCUUUAUACUUGAACAACGAAACAAAUGAAAUUUCCUAAGAGAAGAGAAGAUGGCAGGCGGUGCUGGAGUGUGAGAUGUAGAGACAGCUGCUACUCUUCCUUUCACAAGUUCUUGCAAGUUGGACAAACAUCGAAGACGUAGAACCUCAAUGUUCUGCAAUGAAUUGCAAGAUGAUAACGACAAAUCAACCAUGCACUUUAUUCCUUUACACCAACUAAUAGUACAUGUCUUCAACUCAUUUGCUUUACGGCACAAAGAAAUAUUGCUCAAGCUUUUGAGAUCAUGACAUGCCUCAACAGUCAGAGUCCUAACGCAAUUUGGGAGCACCACAAGAUCUUCUUUCCCUAUCUCGCAAUUAAUAAAACAUACCUUUUUGUCAACUUCGACAUCCUCAAGAUGAGAACACCAAGGAUGGCUCCUGAUGUUGCCCAAAGUAGGUGAUCCAACUCCAAGCCAGUAUUUGGAGGGCCCUUGACCCAAUAAAGACUUGGCAUAUCUCUCAAAGUCUUGUAUUUCACAAAAGAAUCCUAGAAGAAUCUCCAGCUUCCUUAGUUUGGCUACUUCCUCUCCUCUUCUAUUCAUCCAAGUUUUCAAGUAUUGGAGAUUAGAAAGCCUUAAUAGAAUUUCCGUUGGUAGUUCCUUUAGAUUCCUUGAAUAUAAAUCAAGAUAUGUGAGGCUUUCUAACAUUUCUAUACCACGAGGGACCUCCUCAAUAAUUGUAUCAAAAAGAUCCAACUUUCUCAAGGCUGUAAGCUUGGCUAAUGAAGGCACGUAUCUUAAACUGCUACACCUUCGAAGGACAAGUGCAGUUAGAUUUUCCAAGUUAGAAAUGGAAUUGGGCAGAUCAUAAAUGCCAGUAUCCGAAAGAUCUAGAACUUUUAGCCCAUGCAUGUGGUCAAAGAAAGAUUCUGGAAUUCUUUUGAGACUAUGAUUUUCUUGCAAUAACAAGGUUGACAAAUUAAGGCAUUUCGGUGAUAUCUGAGGAACUUGUGAUAUGUAAUUGUGAAUCAAGGAAACCUUCUCAAGAUUCUCUUUCCAUUUAUGCUCACUUGGUAACUCCACUAAUUGCAUACCAGCUUGAACCAUAAAGUGAUGACACCCUCUUAUAAUAGACAAUGCCAUGUCUCUUAGAACAUCAUGCACCUUCACUUCUUCCUUAACAUUGUAAGUCAUCACCCUCUCUAACAAGCAAUUAUUUACAAGCUUAUUUAAAAUAGCGCGACCUCUGUCUUGCAUUGCCUGUCUAGUUUCUAAUUCAUCAAUGAGAUCCUCAUCUAUCCAUUUUUCAAUCAACUCUUCUUCCACAAUGUGAUAAUCUUCAGGAUACAAGGAACAAUAUAAGAAACAAUUUUGAAUUUUUGAAUCUUUCAAACGAUCAUAACUGAAUUUCAUACGCUCAAAUAUUUCAAUAUCUAACCCUUUCACACUUUUAACCCUUUCACGUAAUUCAUUUAGUGCAUUCCUCCACUCGCAAGUAUCGUCCACUCCUCUCAUGCUACUAGCUAUAGUCACAAUGGCAAGCGGUAAACCACCACAUUCGUCAACAAUAAGGUUUGCAAUUUCCUUUACAGUUGGAUGUUGUAGAACCCUAUCCCCCACCAGAUUCAAAAAUAAGUUCAAUGACACCUUCUGCGAAAGAGGCUGCACUUUAAACACCUUACAACCCAUAGAAUUACAAACCUCAAUUGAUCUACUAGUGAUUAUCACUUUGCUCCCAUUAUGUAAUGUUGGUUCCGGGAUUCCCACAUCCAAUAGAGAAAACCGUUCCCAAACAUCAUCUAAGAUCAACACAUAUCUCUUUCUUUCCAAGACUUCCAUUAAUACAGUUGCCCAUUGCAACUUAUUUUCUGGAAGACAGCAUUCUAAAGCACAUGCAAUAUCUCCUUGUAAUUUGACAGCAUUGAAUUCUCUAGAUACGGUGACCCAAAUCACUGCAUCAAACUGAUUUUCCUUCAACAAUUGAUUAUUGAUAUGCUUCAUGAUGGUAGUUUUUCCCAUUCCACCCAUACCACAUACUCCAAUCAUGCCAACCUCGUCACCCAUUAAAUUUUCCCAAAUUUGUUCCUUUACAUCGAUUUCACCUUCUAGUUUUGUUGUGAGAAAUGUCACCCCUGUAGCUGGAGGCCCAUCAAUUGUUACACCCUCAGGGAAAUUACCUCGUUGAUAAAUUUCCUUUGCUUCUUCAAUCUUCUGGCAAACAAAUUUCCCUAGGCGUGCACGUGAGAAGUAUGAAACAACACGCAAUUUCUCUUCAAUCAUUUGAAGUUCAAUAUUUAUCCGUUCUAAAUCUUCAAACCAUUUCUCCACUUCUUUCUUCACCACUCUUCUGCAACGAAUAUCUGCUUCCUUUCUGAAUUCAAGGUCUUGCUUUCGAAUAUUUAGAUCAUUCACUUUUCUUUUAAGAUCAUUCACAUUUUCCUUAAGUUUCCGAUGAUGACUAAUGGAUCUAUAGGCUGGACCCCCAAAGCACUUUACCACUUCGAAAAUUGGCCCUAGAAGCUCCAUAUAAGCUACUCCCUGUAGUUUAAAAACCAAUAUGUAUAUUACAUCUCCAUAUAAGAUACUGCUUGUACUACUAUGUUAUUAAAUCUCAAACUUUUAUCAAUUCUUCUAAAGAAAAAAAAAACAAAAGAAAAAAUAUUGCUUUUAAAAAACUUUAUUAAAUACAAGAAUCCAUCAUCUAUGAGAAUAGUGUUUAUAUUUCUAAGACUACUUAUACGUUAAUGGUUUUAUAUAUAGUAUAUGUAGAUGAAUGUAUACAUGUUUGUGUUUAUAUAUUUAUAUAUAGUGUUCAACUUUCUCACUUAAGAACCAUCACAAAUUCUUUAAAUAUGUCUGACCUGUGUUUUCGAGUCUUGAUCAUUAGAACAUUAAUAAAAGGAGGAAUAAAAAAAUGAGAAAACAAUUCUCAAUAAUAUUAAACAUCAAGGACCCAAGCAACUUUCUCACUUAAGUUGUAUCACUCUCUAACAGGUAAUUAUUUUCAAGCUUAUUUAAAAUGCCCUCUGUCAUGCUUUGUUUGUCUGGUUUCUAAGCUGCCAUGGAGCCUCUCAUCUAUCCAAGUUUCAAUUAAUUUCAUUUUCUCAAUUUCAAAUUCUUCAGGACAUAAGGAACAAUAAUAUAAGAAAAAAUUUUAAAUUUUGUAUUUCUCAAGCAAUCAUAACUAAACUUCAAACAACCAAAUAUGUUGACGUUCACACCUUUCACACUUGUCACCCACUCUUCGAAUUCAUUCAGUGCAUACCUGCACUCACAAUAUCAUCUACCCCUUUCAUGCUACUGGCUAUUAAUGUCGCAAAGCGGUAAAUCGCACAUUGCUCAACAAUUUUGUUGACAAUGUCUUUUAAAUUUCAAUCUCAUACAACACCACAUGAUCUAAGAAUAAGUUCAUGGACCACGUUUUUUAAAGUGAUUUCACUUUGACAACCACACUAUCCAUAAAUUUACAGACCUCAAUUGAUUUACUAGUGAGUACAACUUUCCUCCCCAUACCUAAUGUUGGUUUUGUGAUUCCUACAUCCAAUAGAGAAAAAAUUGUUUCUAAACAUCAUCUAAAAUCAACGCACAUCUCUUUUCCUCCAAAAUAUUAUUUAAUGUUGCUGCUUAUUGCAAUAUAUCUUUUGGAAGAGAUUGGUACGAAGAAUCUGCAAUAUCUUCUUGCAAUUUGAAAAUAUUCAAUUCUUUUAAUAGGUGAGCCAUUCCACUUUAUCAAGCCAGUUAUCCUUCAACACUUGAUUAUUUAUAUGCUUCAUGAUGGUGGUUUUCCCUAUGCCACUCAUUCCAUAUACUCCAAUCAUUCCAAUCUCAUCACUCAUCAAAUACUUCAUUUUUUAAUUUUUCUUCAAUUUCACCUUCUAGAUUUGGUGUUGGUAAUGUCACCCUGGUGGCUAAAGGCCCAUCAAUUGCCACACCAUCAAGGAAACCACCUUGUUGGUAAAUUUCCUCUAAUUCAUCAAUCAUUCAACAAAAUGAUUUUCCUGGACGACCGCAUAAGAAGUAUGAACCAACACAGAACUUCUUUUCAAUAUUUUCCAUUUCAGUCACCCUUUGUACGUCUUCAAAGGUUAAAUGGAGCACAGUAUGCAAGCCCAAAAGAUUUGGAGGACUGGGGAUCUCAAACCUUAAGCAUAAAAACUUAGCUCUCCUUGCAAAAUAUUGGUGGUGGCAGUAUGGCAACGAGGAAAACGCAUUAUGGAGGUGGCUGAUUGUAGAAAAAUAUGAAAGGGGGCAAAAUCAUUGGAUCCCCUCAUCAUCAAACAUGGGAAGAAUGUCACUGAUAUGGAGAUCCAUUGUAAAUUUACCUUCCAACAAGGGUGUUCAAGAACUUGUGUGAGACCAAGCAUGUCGCUGGAUUACUAUUUUCUUUUGGCUUUACAAAUUGAUUAAUGAUGUUCCUCUUUUCUCCAAAUUUUCUCCUCUUUUCUCUUUGAUUGUUUCAAAGGAAAUGAAAGUUGUUGACGUGCAGAACAAUCGCACUUGGUCCAUAACCUUUAAACACAAUCUACAUUUAUGGGAGAAAGAAUCCUAGGAUGAGAUCCUCCACAAGUUCUCCUCGAUUCCUUACUCCAAGGAAAAGGUGAUAAGCUCAUUUGGCGGCAUGACCCUAAGGGUGCUUACUCUAUUAAAACUUUCUACUUACUCCUUGAUGCUAAUCCUAGUGCUUGAAAGUUUGGUUCAACACUAUUUGGCACUUCUCCAUUCCACCGAAGGUGCAAUGUUUCCUAGGGCUCUCGCUCAUAUAUAGAUUCUUUACCUACCAAAGGCUUCCUUUCGUCCGAGGUGUUUAAUUCAAUGUUGAGCAACUUAGAUGCCCUUGGUGCAGCCUUGUAGUGGAGACAUUUGUUCUUUGUAUUAUCUUUCAGUAUGUUGCUAGUAGUUGAUGUAUAAUUCUCUUAGGCCAUGUUUCGGAUUGUUCUGCAUUUUGUAAGCCAGGCUGGUUAGGUUCUGUUAUGCACUCUUUGUGCACUCCCCUGUUUUUUUCAUUUUCUGUUCUGCAUCAACAGUUCAUUCCCAGCCUUGUACUUUAAAAAACCAACUUAUAUUACAUCUCCAUAAGAUAUAAGCUAUACCUUGUACUAAAAAGCAAAAGAAAAAUAAGUUUUGAAAACAUUAUUAGAAACAAGAAGUUUUUGUUUCGAUCAUCUAGGUGAAUAAUGUUUACAUUUCUAACACUAUAUUUAUCAAGCCGAAUGUAUAUACUAUUUAUAUAUAGCAUAUACUUCCCCCCCUAGAGAGCCAACACAAAUUCUUAAAUAUGUCUUGCCUACAUAUCUCAAAAAGAUAUUUAAGAAAUAAUUGCAUGAAUAAAUUGAGAGGGUAAAAUGACAUUAAAAAUACCAGGUUUCUUCUUCAGGAAAGAUGAAGAACAGGGCUCAAGUAGUACAAAUUAAUCCCCUUGGUUCCUUGCUAAGCACAAAUUUGUUGUGGAAAAUAGCUGACAUAAAAGAGGAACAAUCACUAGUGUUGUAAAGGUGAAAAGCUUAUUUGCUAAAGUUUUUGGAAUUAUUCUUAUUCUUGCUCACUAUAAUUAAUUUCAGCCUAAUUAAUAGAAUAGAAGCAUGACAAAGAAAGAACCAAAAUAAUUUUGUGCAACUUGACUAAAGAUGAUGAAAUUAUGUUACAAGAUUAUAAGAUUCUAAAGAACAUGAACCCAAAAGAUUAAAAAUCAUAAUAUAAAGGAAUAGGCAGUUCAAUUACCUGGUUAAAUGAGACAAUGAAUGGGUACGUCUCCUCUCCUUAGAGGGUCUUGGUUAUAUUGGUGGAAUGGAAGAUUAAUAUCUCCUUCUAGAAUUUGUCAAGAACAGAGCAAAAUCAGAUCUCUCUGCUGGCAAAAUAAUACUAAUUGACGAUGUGGAGCAACAAAACUUGUCACACGCCCUAUAUCUACUUUCUUAUAUUUAUAUUUCAAAGGAGAAUUAAUCCAAUUUAGAAAAGUCAUGAAUCAUAAUUUCUUGUUGCCGAAAUAGGAAGAUUUGGUUAUAGAAGAAACUACGCACAACAAGUUCAGCACUUUUGUUCUUUUUUAUAAUUAAGAAACAAACAUAACCCAAAAAGACAUAUGUUUAAGCAAUCAAUAUUGCAAGAAUAAAGGAGACGGUAGAAUGAUUGCAAGGGCUAAAGCCAUAUAUAGUAGGGGAAAGGAUAUGAAACCUGUUUCCUUCUUCAAAUUAUUUGGAAAGAUGGAGCUGAACAGGUUCUGAGCCACAAACCUCUUGGAAUUUUAUGUGGAAAAGUAACUGACAUGAAAGAAGGAGAAUCAAUAGUGUUAUGAUAAAGCUGAAACUCUUCACUUGUAGCCUAUGGGUCUAGUUUCUACUCAUUAAUGGAGAGAAUUAUUGAAUUAGGAAGCAAAAAAGAAUAUAAAGUCGGCAACUCAAUGCAAAGUCAUGAUAGGAGUUGCGAAGUCACUUUCCUUGAAUUCAAUAAAAAAACUGGCCACUUGUCCUCUCUAUAAUUCCAAUAUUGUCCUCACAAAUUUCUUUAUGUGUUAAGGAAAAGACCAUAAAUACGUAGAGAUGUUAAAACAGUGUAUCGGCUGAAUAACCAAGCUACUGUUUACUGCAAUAGAACCUUGACAUGACAUAAUUACACGUAUAAAAUUAUUCUUACUAAUAAUAAAGGUUUAAAUAUUGGUCAAGUAAUUUUGGUUGGACCACACUUGACUUUUUACUUAUAAAAAAUUUAGAAUUAUUUGUAAAAAUUAUUUUAUUCAUAACUUUUAAUAUUCAAAAAGCUUGUAAAAUAGUAAAAGAUAAAAUCAGAAAAGCAAAGCAGAGAAGAAACAAUACCAAGAAGAUAGCAACUAGCAAAAUCUUCUAUCCAAAGAGAAUGAAUUUUUGGAGCAAAAACAAAAUUAAAAAAUGGCCAAGUCAAUGCCACAAGUCGUUGCUGAGGUUUCCAAGUAACUUCCCUCGAAACAUGAUAUAUAUAAAUGCAUAUUUCCUAUUUUUUGUCGUUCGGAACAUAGAAUUUUCCUUUAUUUUUAAUCUAUUCUCACUUUGUAAAUUUUGUUUGACCAUUGGCUUUCUGAAUCUAAUCUAACCUCGUAUAAUUUCAUCAUGAGGUUUGUAUAUUAAUAAUGAUCAUUGAAGAAUCUAAAAUUAACAAUUAUCAAGUGGCCACUAAAGAAAAACUAAAAUGAAGUAUACUUUGUGUGAAAAUUUUUACUUUAUUGUUCAGAGUCUAGUCUUCUAGAGAUCAUAUUCUAUCUUGUGUGUGACAGACACCAAUUCUUAAUGCUCUGCACUGAAAACGCAAUAUACAUUUGCUGAAUCGAAAUUUAUAUUCAAAAGGAGAAAUAAUCCAAUUUAAUAAAUUACUAAAAAUGUCAUGAAUUAUAAUUCCUUGUUGCUGAUAUAGAAAGAUUUGUUUAUAGAACAAACUAUGCCCAACAAGUUUAUCCCUUGAUAUAAGUAAUGAGAAAGGAAAGAGGCUUGUGCAUGAUGGGGAUUCAGCUUCUUGCUUAUCAGCCAUUUCAGAUUACUUCAAAAAAUGAAGGGGAACAGAUCAAUUCAUUCUCUUCCAGAAUAUCCUGUUUAUUAUUUCCAUGGUUAUCGGUAUCAUAUCUGUUUAUCAAACCGAUAUAUUAUCCUUCAACAAUUGAUUAUUUAUGUCCUUCAUGAUGGCAGUUUUCCUAUGCCACCUAUUCUGCGUACUGUAAUCAUUCAAACCUCAUCACUCAUCAAAUACUCCCAAAUUCGUUCUUUAAUUUUACAUCGAUUUUAACUUUUAGAUUUGGUGUUGGUAAUGUCACCCAGGUAGCUAGAGGCCGCAUACUGUCAAGGAAACUACCUUGUUACAUUUCCUUCUUCAAUCCUUCAGCAAACAAAUAAAUUUGCUAGCAUAAAUCAAACAAAAAUCAAACUUUAUUAGAUUUAGCAAUACAUCCAAUUUCCAAAUAAAAUAAAACGGAUACAAGAUACCAUCCACUAACAGUGACACAACUCCUGCAAACAAUUCAAAAUAUAUUACAGCAUAACAAUAUUCCUCCCCUUCCCACCCCAUUUAUUUACAAUGUAUCCCAACCGGCCAAUCGGCAGGCAAAGUUGGGUAAGGGGAGUGUUGCUUCCUCGAUUACUUGCAAGUGACGUAUACUUCCACUACACCACAAUCACCAUCUAUUCUCUUGGAUUGGGUUCCGACCAGUGCAUCAAAGUGUAAACUGACAAUGUUGUGAGGCGGAAGCGUAUCUUUUUCUGCCAUCGAAUAAACUUUCCUCCUUUAAAGUGAUCUAACUUGAUAAUGUUGGUAGCUAUCUCUUUAAGUGAAGCCAUUUUGAAUGCUAAGAAAAUAAGUCUUAAAAUUGUUGGUACAAAUGGGGUUUAAAUGGAAUUCAAAAACUAGCAUAAUUGACUUCAAGACAAGCCUUUCAAUAGAAGUUAUAUUUAAAUUUAUUUUGCCCCCACCACUCAGUAUGCAAAAGAGGAAUAAUGCGAAUAGCCUUAGGGAUACAAUGAAAUCAACAUCUAACUUCAUCUUACACUUUAUGAGAGUAGACCGCUAGAUACACCUGAGGAUUUACAAAAUUAUUUGGCUUUAGAGCUUACUUUUUGCAACAAGUAGAUUAUAAGGAAUUUGGACGCUUUUGUAGUUGAUGGGAACUUAAGUGUUUACGUUAAUAGAACAAAAUAUUUUUCUUACUCUUUGAUAUUUCUGCUCUUGUUUUGUUUUUGAUUUGAUGUCUCAAAAUGGUUGGCAACAAGCCCUUCCUAUAGGCUUCCUAUAGGCUUGCAAGUGUCUCUUCUUCAAUGACCCAACCCUUUCAUUAAGGCACCAUUUUGUCUAAAAGACAUCUUUACAUUUUGUUAGACAUAACUUUUGGAUAAAUGUAUUAUUUCAAUAGUCAUCUUAUGAAAAGAUAACUAUUCAUUCUAUAAAAUAUAAUCUUUGAGUUAUAAUUUGUAAUAAUAACAUUCCGUAUUUAACUUUUGAGCUAUGGUGUCUUUUUAAUUUAUCUCAUAACUUUUGAAUGUCAUUUUACUAAGAGACAUAACCAUUCAUAUGAAAACUUGCCUACAAUCCAAUAGACACACUAUGUCACUUUAUGUGACAUAACCUUUGAGCUAAGAUAGCUUUUCAUUAUAUGAUACAAUCUUUGAUUUUGAAAAUGCACCAACAACUUUGACCUUAUAAACAACUCUAAAACCACCUUCCCCUAGCUUGAUGUCCAUAGAAAAGCUAUCAGUAGCACGAGCUACGGUAGCAAGCUCCAAUAUUGGAAGCUCCAUGUCUUCAUCCUGGCCUUGAUUUUCUUGAUCAUUUUCCUUAUUGUCUUUAGUUUCUUUAAAACAGUAGCCAAAAUAGGCUUGGCAUUCACCAUAAAAUAUGAUAGAUUCUUAUGCAUUUUGAUUGAGCUAGAUAAUUGGACAAAAAGCUGAUGUGGUUUUUGAGAUCACACAAAACCAUGUAUCUCCAGUUAUUUGCUUCAUUAACAACUCUAUUUUGACACCGAUAAGCAUUGAAGAAACUGCGUGUUGAUUUGCUAGCAUCAUUACUAACAAAGGAACAAAAUGAGCAUUAUUUGUGAAGGAUAUUUCAAAGUUACGUCUGAACUUUCUGGGGCUUCUAUAAAUGUAAUAACUGACAAUAAACAGCCCCAAAACCACAGCACAGUAGUGUUCCAAUCACUGCAGCAAGCUCCAUCCUGAGCUUAUCUUUCAAUUCUGUAUGACAGAAUUUGAUAAAGAAAAGCAUAUAUGAACAAAAAAAAGUAGUGAAAACAAGAGAAAAUGUAAACUCAUACCUGAUUUUGGAGCAGACACUCUAACAUAUAGGUCCUGCCCUACUGAUUGAAAUUUUCUGUAAUCAAUCAAAUUACCAAACCAAAAGGCGCAUCCCCAAACUCUUCCUCCAUUAUCUGAACUAGUGUAUGCUUGGCUUUCUACAUUCCAUGUGAAGUCCUGUAUCAUCAGUUUGGUUCAGAACAAGUCCUGUGAUCAAUGAUUUCUAUUUGAGACAUUUUGUAUGGUUGAAAUAUAAAAUAGAAAUACCCGGACAUUGAAGAGAUAUUGAAGAGAAUUUGCAGGAAUCAUAACUCCAAAACCACAAAUGCUUUUCAGCUCUGGUAAUUUCAAUAAGGAAAGUUUCCUUAAUUUGGGAAGAAUGAAUGUUAUGCUAACAGCCCUUCCUUCUCCUCUGUUAUUUUCUCCCUCCUCUUCUGAUUCUAUUAUUUGCUCCAUUUUUUCACAAAGCCUGACAUCAAUUUCCUCCAAAUUUUGAAAACACUGCAACAGCUUAAUUGAACACAACUUCUUCAUCCUCGAACAGUUUCUCAAGUAAAAACUUUUGAGAGAAGAGAAAAUGGCAGGUGGUGUUGGGAUCUGAGAUGGAGAUACACAUAGAUUCAUGGUUUUCAUGAAUAAGAUAAAAAUGUUAUGAUCACCAUUUAAACAUAAUAUAUAUAUAUAUUUAGAGUAAUCACACUAAUCAUAUCAAAUUAAACUCAUACUCAUAAUUUGCACGCAACAUCAAAUCACCAAAUCUUAUAUAGAUAAUUUAAACUAUUAAUCUUGUUUAAUUAUAUUUGUAUUCAUCAUUUGAAGGGCUUUGUAAAUUUGUAAAGUAAACAACAAUAAGCAAUAAUUAUGUUUAUUUUCAAUAUCUUGGUACUGAUACAUCACUUCCCAAAUAUGCUUUCCUUUUCUUUUUCAUAUAUAGACAUUGUUUUAUUUGGAGAUUGUAGCUAGCUAGACACCAUUAUUGCCAGUCCAAGAGGUGACACUUUGGAGAUUGAAUAGCAUUUAAUUUUCAGGUGUUUUGGUCUUGAGAUGAGUGGCAACAUUAAUUCUUUUGGAUCUGUUGAAUUAGCUUUUGUAUAUAAAAGAAGGUAUACCUCCUCAAACAUGGAAAAUCCCCUUUCAAACCCAUAAUUUUAAAGAAAGAAAAUCCUAAUUUAAUAGAUUAGUUGCCAACUAAGGACAAGCAUUGUUGAUGUGACAUUUAUUUUGGUAUAUUCUAACACUCGUUGACUAGAUUCAAUUGGAUAGGAUUCUUAAUUUUGAUGAGAUUUAUGGGUAGUGAUUAAACAAUGGAAGUGUUGACAAUGGAGGUUCUAAGUCCCUUGCAUCUAAGAAAGAAAUGAAUUUGUUCAAUUGACACUGCUUUGGUACAUAUAGAAAGUAAGCUAAUACCAUAGCCAUAUUUCUUACGUGACUUCCAACAAAUUUGAGACUUCAGUAUGGCAAAAUAUUGGGUAUUUGAAUAAAUUACAAUACAAAUAGAGAAAGAAAAAAGAAAGAGACUAAAUAGAAAGGGGAAGUGGAAAGAUCCCCAAAAUCAAUUAAUUGUAAGUGGAAGGAGCAAAGCCCAACUUUGUUGGCAACAAAGUCAUGUUCCCACAGAUGAUUUUGUUCUUGUUGCAGAGCGUUGUCAAUAAUAUUUACUUCCAGGCUGUCUUUUGGUAAAUAGAAGCCGAUAAUGGUUCUCUGGAUCAAGCUCAAAUAUAGCUCCAUCUUCAAAAAUGAAUUGCAAAUCCUGACACUGAAGACAAAAUCAAGCCUUGUUAUUGCUUUUAAUAAAAGCAAAUAAAAUUUGAAGGGUGUUCAGCUGGGCAAUUACUAGUUCCCAAGUAACAGUUUUAACUGCUACUUUCCUGUACCAAAUUCCCAAGCAACGAUUCUUAGAGCUUCCAGGACUAAAGAAACCAAGCUCAAGGAUUCCGUCCAUCACUAACAGACUGGGAGGAGGCGGAGAUAUCGAUUCCAUCAGCAAUACUUGAAAACAAUAUUAGUAAAACAGUGUUGGUGAACAUGGAAGACAGAAUGUCCUUUUAAACUUUCAGAGCUUGUAAAACUCAUAGAAAAACUUUUCAGUUUGGCAGAUUUUAGAGAGCAAACAUAUUUAAACUGAUGAUCGUUGACUAGUAUGCAAAUCUUCCUUGAAAAGACCAAACUUUUCAGGUUGCAUAGAAUUCUUAUUUCUAAUUUUUAUGAAGCUUCAGUGCAGUCAUCUUGUAUUGUCUCUGUGAAUCAAAUAUAUAAAUAAAUAUAUAUAUAUAUAUAUAUAUAUAUUACCCACAAAUAGACACUUGCAGGGCGCUAAGCUCAAACUGGGACUAAACCACUGGUAUCAAAGCAUAAGGUACAUGACAUACUGACUGAUAGCCUAUAAUAAUGGCUUGGAGAUAAAAGAGCUAAGUAUACAGUUUAUCAAUUAUCAAGCAUCUAGUACUGACAGAGUUAUUUCAUUUGUGGGAGACGAUACAUUCUUGUCUGAUGAAGAAUCUUAUUCAAGUGGACUUUUCUUAAACAAAACACCAGGUUGUUUGGGGUGUGGCAAUUCAUUUUCGCUUCCCAAUGUCAGAAUCACAAAUGACAUACUUGGCCUAUCCUCUGGAUAUGCUGUUGUAAACUUAAACGACUGAUAAUGGAUGAAUUGUAUCACUUCUGAUAGAUUGCAAAGACUCUCCUAAGCAUUCGUCAACAAGUUUUAAAGGACUGCCUUAUUUACAUAAUCUUCAUGCCUGCAGCAAAUUGAAACCCUUUUAGGUUUUAUCAAUCCAAGAUAGGCAACAAAAAAUUGAUUAUAAAAAUAUCUGCUGAAACUGACAUGUUCAACAAGGUUGCCGCUUUGUGUUGGAUGGUAAAGCCCUCUAUUUUUUCUUCCCACUUAUUAUCUCCAUCAAUAAUAUACCAAAGCUAAAGAGAUCUGAUUUUACUGGAAGCAGUCCAUCAAUAGCAUAUUCCGUGCCAUAUAACCACUGCAGAACAUUAUCAAAAGCAAUAAAUAUAUGAGGGUAUGUAGACAUUAUGAAAAUAAAGUGAAAGUUAGUAAGUUCCAACCACUCUUUUAGCGUUCCCUUCAGUUUGGUCUCCUCCAAAAGUUCUAGCCAGUCCAAAAUCUGAAACUUUUGGAUUCAUCUCACUAUCAAGCAGAACGUUAUUAGUUUUGAGAUCUCUGUGAAUAAAAAAAAAUUAUUCAAAUGAAAUGGCAAAGAAUCUAAUUAACUCGUUUGAAGAAACUUUGGAUUUGCUAGCAUCACCAUUAACAAAGUGUUUUUUUUUUUUUUGUUUAUUUUGCAAAGGACAACUUGGCACGAUCUCUGUAAAGGAAAUGACUGACAGUGAACAACCCCAAAAGCACAACACAGUGUUAAUGCAGGAAGUUUUAUCCUAAGCUUAUCUUUCAAUUCUGUAUGAUGAAAUUUGAUAAAGAAAAGCAUACAUGAACAAAAACAAAAAAAGCAUUGAAAACAAGAGAAAAUGUAGACUCCUACCUGAUUCUGAAGCAGACAUUUUAACAUAUAGAUCCUGCCCUUUUGAUUGAAAUUGUCUGUAAUCAAUCAGAUGAUGAAACCGAAGGGCUCAACCACUACCUAUUCCUCUGUUAUCUGAACUAGUGUAUGCCAUAUAGGAAUAGUUCUACAGAUACUUAGCCCUGCGUCCCUUAAAAUUCAUACUUUUAGUUACCCAAGAAUGUGUAGCAUCUUGCAUUUUCAAAUCUUUUAAAUCUGACAAAUCCAUCUCUACUUUGGCAGUUGAAUGGCUUAUUGUGCUUACACCUUUGGGACCAGUCUGAUGAGUUCUAUCUUUCGGGAAAUUCAGGCUUAAACAUCAGCUUUCAGGGAAUUAAGGCUUGAAUCCUUUAAAAAGUGCAAGCUGAGCACCAUCACGAUUCCUUUUUGAACCACAAAGUCCAUAUCUGUCACAGUAGUCUCUUGGAGCAAAUGAGAAAAGCAUCCAAGCUUGCUUUCUGCAUUUCAUGUGUAGUCCUGUGAUCAAUGAUUUCUAUUUGAGACGCUUUGGAUGGUUGACAUAUAUAAUAGAAAUACCAGGUGGGUAGAUCAUGCAUUGUUUUCAUAAGAUGAUGUGAUUGAGUGACUUUUGAUGAAUGCAGAAUACACAAAGUGCAGCAGAAAACAAAUUAUAAACAUUGAGGUCCCAGAUAAUUUGUAUUUUUCAAUAAUAUGCAGCUUGUUCCUCUAAUCAUUCUCUUGAGUGGACAAACAUAACUUCAAUGACUUACUUGUAUUAAAUGAUUUCCAAUUCAUGAACCAGUUGAGACCAGUGUGGAUGCGUUUUCUCACAUCUGAUAGGUUGCAGGACAGUCCUAAGAAUUCACCACCGAGUUCAACAGGGGUGCCUUCCUCUCAUAAUCUCCAUGCCUGCAGCAAAUUGAAAACCUUUUAGUCAUUUUAUUAAAGUAUUUUAAUUCAUAAUAAUUAAAGUAUUUUAUUUAAGUGUUAAAGUUCUAUUUAUAGUAGUAGUAAUUAUUAUUAUUAUUAUUAUUAUUAUUAUGAGUGUGUGUGUGUGUCUUUUUUUGUUUUAAAAUUUGAAAAAAAAAAUUAAAACCAAAUUUGAAAAAUGUGAGUGAAAAUGAAAAUAAAGGAAAGGGGUAGGACGUGUCAGAUAGCAAUUGGCUGAGAUAUGCAGAUUGAAGGGUGUUUAGUUGGAGAUUUUUCUAUCAUUCAUAAAAUUAAAGACUUGGUUUUAUGUUUAUAUUAAAAAAGAGAAAUUAUUUAGCAAAUGAGAAAUUAAGAGAUAAAAAUAUUUAGCAAAUGAGAAAGAGAUGAAAAUAAACUCACAAUUAAUGUUUGCUGUUUUUAAUAAGAAGCAAGAGCCUUGCACCCUCAUUUAAUCAAACACCUCUUCUCCAUCUCAUUCUACCAAUACUGAACAAAGGGAGAAAGGACAUCCUUAGCAUCAGGCUGAUCCCAUUCCACUGAUUCCCACCAUUCUCUCGGGCUUACUAUGAUUCGUUUUAGAAAAGGAGGAGGCAAUGGUUUCCCAUUUUCAACAAGGGGAAGAGACAAUGGGAUCCUCUUUACUUCUGGACAAUCGAAUAAUGUGACAUGUUGGAGAGAAUCUACAGGAAUCACAAGUCCACCACGGCAUAUGCUUUUCAAUUUUGGUAAUUCUUCCAAGACUAAUGAUUUUAAUUUGGGAAGAAUAAAUGUUGUUCCUUCUCGUUCCUGAUUUUCUUCUGAUGCUAUUAUUUCCUCCAUUUCAUAACAAUUUCCAACUAUAAUUUCCUCUAAGUUUUGGAGGCUUUGCAACAGCUCAACUGGAUACAACUUCUUAAUCUCGUAACAAGAAUACAGUUUCAGUGUUUUAAGAGAAGAGAAGAAGGCAGGUGGUGUUGGAGCAUGAGAGGUAGAUUCAAUUUCUGCUGCUACUCCUACUCUCACAACUUCACGCAAGUUCCACAAUGACUCAAGCCAUAGCUCCUCAACGUUGUGAAGUGCGUUGCAAGACCAUGAUGACAAGUCAACCACACACUCUAUCCCUUCACACCUCCGAAUUCUACAUUUCUUCAAGUCAGUUGCCUUACGAAACAAAGGAAUAUGGCUUAAACAUUUGAAAUCAUUACACCCCUCAAUACGUAAAGUAUGAAGGUCAUUUGGGAGCACUACAUCGUCACACCUUUCUAUCUCCAAAUUUGUGAAUUCAACAUUUUUCUCAAUUUCGUUGAAAUCUGGGGAAUACCCAAUAUAAAUAUUCACAUCUGGUCCCACUUGAAAAUCGAAAGAUGUAGGCCAUUUACCUUGUGUAGACUCUGCAUAUUUCUUAAACUCUUGCAUGUCGCAAAAUGAACAUGAAACACACUCAAGCUUCCUCAAUUUGCCUACUUCUUCCCCCCUUAAAUGUAACUCCACCAGUAAGCAUUGCAGAUGAGAAAUCUUCACUAAUAUUCCCAUUGGUAGCUCCUUUAGAUGCGUUGACCCUAGACGAAAAUAUCUAAGGUUUUGUAACAUUUCUAUACCAUGAGGAAACUCCUCAAUGCUUGUACUAAAAAGGUCCAACUUUCUCAGUGCUCUGAGCUCUGCUAAUGAAGGCACAUAUUUUAACAUGUGACAAUUAGCAAGUAUCAAUGCAUUGAGAUUUUUC